rnacentral:rRNA from 1 species
UAGCAUAUCAAUAGCGGAGGAAAAGAAACCAACAGGGAUUGCCUCAGUAACGGCGAAGUGAAGCGGCAAAAGCUCAAAUUUGGAAUCUGGCACUUUUUGUGUCCGAGUUGUAAUUUGAAGACCGGUGCUUUGGGGCUCGGAGGUGUCGAAGUUCCUUGGAACAGGACGUCGCAGAGGGUGAGAAUCCCGUGCGAUACCUCUUUGAGUCUCGUGUAAAGCCCAGUCGACGAGUCGAGUUGUUUGGGAAUGCAGCUCUAAGUGGGUGGUAAAUUCCAUCUAAAGCUAAAUACUGGCGAGAGACCGAUAGCGAACAAGUACAGUGAUGGAAAGAUGAAAAGAACUUUGAAAAGAGAGUGAAAAAGUACGUGAAAUUGUUGAAAGGGAAGGGCUUGAGAUCAGACUUGGGAUUGCUCUUCGGGGCGGUUUCCAGGCCAGCAUCAGGUGGAGGGGCGAGAUAAGACGGCAGGAACGUGGCUUUGCUUCGGUGAAGUGUUAUAGCCUGCUGAGAUAUCGCCAUCUUCGCCUGAGGACUGCGCUUCGGCAAGGAUGCUGGCAUAAUGAUCUUAAGCCGCCCGUCUUGAAACACGGACCAAGGAGUCUAACGUCUAUGCGAGUGUUUGGGUGUAAAACCCGUACGCGGAAUGAAAGUGAACGUAGGUGGGAACUCCGCAAGGAGCGCACCAUCGACCGAUCCUGAUGUCUUCGGAUGGAUUUGAGUAAGAGCAUAGCUGUUGGGACCCGAAAGAUGGUGAACUAUGCCUGAAUAGGGUGAAGCCAGAGGAAACUCUGGUGGAGGCUCGUAGCGGUUCUGACGUGCAAAUCGAUCGUAGAAUUUGGGUAUAGGGGCGAAAGACUAAUCGAACCAUCUAGUAGCUGGUUCCUGCCGAAGU